GACGAACCGUGCGAACGUUAUUCGGAAUCACUGGGCUUAAAGCGCGUGUAGGUGGCUUGGCACGUCUCUCGCUGAAAUCCCCUGGCUCAACCAGGGAAGUGGCGGGGAUACGACCAAGCUUGAGGGGGGGGUAGGGGGGACGGGAACUCACGGUGGAGCGGUGAAAUGCGUUGAGAGUCGUGAGGAACGCCCGCGGCGAAAGCGCGUCCCUGGACCCCACCUGACACUGAGACGCGAAAGCCAGGGGAGCGAACGGG
rnacentral:rRNA from 1 species